rnacentral:lncRNA from 1 species
CGAUGUGGACCCAUUGUCAAAGUGUGUGUCGGAGAAUUCUAUUUUCAAUAACAUUGCGGGAAAUAGAUCUAGUGAAUAAUAUUUUAAUCUAUCGAUAAAAAAUAAUAAUUUGAAAGAGAAGCAAAAAACUGAAAAAGAGUCACCAAACCUUCAUCGAGGUAGAAUCUACGCCGACUCUUUGAGUUCAGCAAGGAUGACAACGUGUGUUCCUGAACAAACGGUAGGUACAUUUUAGAUCUGUUUCAUAAAUAUAUUUUUAAAAUAUAGCCGUCUAUAUUGUCUCCAUAACAAUUAUAUAAAUCCACCGAAACUACCCCCGAUCCAAACCAAUUCUCACUUAGAUAUUGAACAAAGUUUUAGCAUUCACUGAAAGAGAAAUCUUUUUUUCAAGGUUCAUUUAUAAAUCGUAAAUUUAUGUUCUAAUUUGGAACCUCAAACUGAAAUUAGUCAGUUAGAAACAUCAAUAUUAGACCCUUUAUUCAUCUAAUUUGGGACUAUUUAUGAAAAACAAUAGGCGCAAAUGUAGAUUUUGUAAUUUUGCGCAGGCCUUUCAGAUUUCAUGUUUCGAUCACGUCGUGGUUCUCCGUAAAAUUUACGGAGAGCGCCGAUGUGGGACGGACAUAAAUAGUAUUUUUCCAAAACAAAUUAUGUAUCUGGUUACUGAAAUGUGAAAUAUGAUCGCAGACUGAAGUCAUAAAUUUAUAAAAGUAUUUAAUUAAUAGAUAACAAAUCAUAUAUUUGUAUUGUGCUAAACUCUAUUUGUCUUAAGUGGUAUUUGAAAUUAAAACUUAGUUUCUUUUACACACAAAUGCCCAUAGUUGUAUGGUAAUUAGUACGGGAAUCGCCGCCAUUUUGUAACCUGCUGUUUUAUAACGAGGAGCCCCAUCCUUGUGGUGAUUUUUGAAGACGAAAAAGGAACGAUACUUCAUAGACUUGGAAGAAGUCACACCUCCUGCUGAUGAGCUUGUUUCAUGAAAAGGGAUCAAGGAGAAGAAGCCACUUGCUGCCUGGUGGCCAGCAACUUGGUGUUUUUACGAUGCUAUUGACACCGGUGUGGUACUCGAAGUUCUGAAACCGGCAAAGACAAAACAACUAGAACAUUGUGGUGAGCAAGAAGAUCUGCACGCUUAGGAAUGGCUUCAAGUGAAUGAGCCAAGCCCCUUGAAGGACAGCUUCCAUGACGACCCCAGGACGAGGAUGACUUCCACUUUCAUAUGAUGGCUAGGGGGAACGGGUGGCCCAGUCGUCUAAGGCGCCGCGAUUUGCUGUGCAGAGUUGCGUCCCUUUUAUUGUGGGUUCGAAUCCCGGUUUGCCCCAAUUAUGUUUCUAGGUUUGUCAGCACCAUAC